GUAUCGCAAACGCGUCUCUUGUUCAUGAACCAUGGAGCGCACUUCUCGCGAAUCCACGCUCGAUCUCUAUAGACGACUAUAGUUUUCAAUUAAAUCGUCGGAUUUCGAAAUCGUUAGGCGCUUGGCCCGAAGGGCCGACGAAUUAAAUGGGCAAAAACAUGCUGAAGAAAGUCUUGAGAUUCAUGUGUCAUUCUUUGAUAGCUUUUUUCAUGGUACGUUCUAUGCUGUAUAUAUUGUUUGAAGGAUUUCCGCCUCAAGUUAAAGGCAGUAGGACCAACGAGUAAUUGCCUUAUGGGCGGAAUCAGUUACUGUUUACUCUUAUAUCACAAUAAACGAAUACGUAGAUCCAUCGAACAUAUGGAGACGGACUGGCAAAUGGCAAAGAGAGAACGUGAUCGUGAAAUGAUGUUGAAGAACGACCGCAUAGGACGGAUCAUAGCGGGUGCUUGUACGCUGAUCGUACAAGGUAGUUCGUUAAGUUACAACUUAGCAAGAGGACUGUCACCAAUAAACGCGGUGAUCGGUAAAGAGACCAUGAAAUAGGUCGCUUACCGUGCCCAUCGUACAAUAAGAUCGUGGAUACCAGAUUCAAUCCAGUGUACAAAGUUGUGCUUACACAACAAUGUCUUUCAUCUAUUGUGGUGAGCAACUCCAAGAUCAGUGGGUGCAGUCUUGCCGCGGUUUUCGCGAUGCACGGCUGCGGUCAGCUCAGAGUGGUGAUGUCGCAUCUCGAAGAGCUCGUUGACGAAAAACGAGAUAAGCUUUAGUUAAGAUUGGCGAAUAUUAAAGAGCGGCAUCUACGAGCAUUGAGAUAUUUUUGUCUCAAUUACAAGUUUCUCUCGCGUAUGGAGACGAUAAUGCGUCAAAUAUGUUUUGUAGAAUUAGUCGGGUAAACGUUCAAUUUGUGCAUGCUGGGAUAUUAUACCAUUAUGCUCGUAAUUGAUAUGAUAAACUACGAAGGAUAAGUUGUGCAGCUAAAAAAACAAAUAAGGGAGCUUUAAGUGGAGCUUCAAAAAUUAAAAGAAACAGCAAUGAAAUAUAAAGUAAUGGUUGUAAUAAUGAUUGUAAUUAUGGUUGUAGUUGUGCUUGUGACGGUUGUUGUGCUUGUGACGGUUGUUGUGCUUGUGACGGUGAUAGUGAUGGUAGUGGUAGUAGUAAUGGUUUCGCUGCUGCCUUUUUUAAUUUUUGGAGCUAAUUGAUCAUAAUUUAUUACUGCCAGUAAUAUUUUUUUACAAGGUAGAAUUAACAUACUGCACUUGUUUCAUCGAAGUGUUAUUUUAUUGUACCAAAACAAAAUAUUAUAUAAUUUAUUCUGUACUUACGAAAACUUCAUCGUUUCCUCGAUUUAGUUCGUUUAUACUACGUAUUCACCACUGUAGACUCGAACGAUUAUAAUCCUC